UGGAGGUGGUGGCGAUCUCUGC
rnacentral:siRNA from 1 species